rnacentral:rRNA from 1 species
CCUACGGGAGGCAGCAGUGAGGAAUAUUGGUCAAUGGACGAGAGUCUGAACCAGCCAAGUAGCGUGAAGGAUGACUGCCCUAUGGGUUGUAAACUUCUUUUAUAUGGGAAUAAAAUGUUCCACGUGUGGGAUUUUGUAUGUACCAUAUGAAUAAGGAUCGGCUAACUCCGUGCCAGCAGCCGCGGUAAUACGGAGGAUCCGAGCGUUAUCCGGAUUUAUUGGGUUUAAAGGGAGCGUAGGUGGAUUGUUAAGUCAGUUGUGAAAGUUUGCGGCUCAACCGUAAAAUUGCAGUUGAAACUGGCAGUCUUGAGUACAGUAGAGGUGGGCGGAAUUCGUGGUGUAGCGGUGAAAUGCUUAGAUAUCACGAAGAACUCCGAUUGCGAAGGCAGUUCACUGGACUGCAACUGACACUGAGGCUCGAAAGUGUGGGUAUCAAACAGGAUUAGAUACCCCAGUAGGC